rnacentral:rRNA from 1 species
GACGAACGCUGGCGGCGUGCUUAACACAUGCAAGUCGAACGGAAAGGCCCUGCUUUUGUGGGGUGCUCGAGUGGCGAACGGGUGAGUAACACGUGAGUAACCUGCCCUUGACUUUGGGAUAACUUCAGGAAACUGGGGCUAAUACCGGAUAGGAGCUCCUGCUGCAUGGUGGGGGUUGGAAAGUUUCGGCGGUUGGGGAUGGACUCGCGGCUUAUCAGCUUGUUGGUGGGUAGUGGCUUACCAAGGCUUUGACGGGUAGCCGGCCUGAGAGGGUGACCGGCCACAUUGGGACUGAGAUACGGCCCAGACUCCUACGGGAGGCAGCAGUGGGGAAUAUUGCACAAUGGGCGGAAGCCUGAUGCAGCAACGCCGCGUGCGGGAUGACGGCCUUCGGGUUGUAAUCCGCUUUCGCCUGUGACGAAGCGUGAGUGACGGUAAUGGGUAAAGAAGCACCGGCUAACUACGUG